AAAGAAGCGAUCUGAUUGGUUGCUAUGGGCAACUCAGCAACUUUUCCUCUGGGCAGGUUUUGAUAAAUCUCCCCCACUGUGUGCAAUGUGUUCGGAUAAUUUUACAACCCUUGACGAAGCCUCAGUGCAAAAUAAGCCUCUGUGAAGAACCAUCUCAAAAACUCACUCGAACCUUAUGAAACCCCAUGCAUUUUAAUAAGGAGGGGCACAAACGGCCAAGGCCGACCUGAAAACCGUGACAAUGGGCUCUUAUUCUCAGGAUGUAAUGCAGAGUAUACAGUACAGGCAUCUGCUCCAUUAUGCGCGGCACAUAAUGUUUACAACUCUAAAAGGUGCGGUAUUAAGGGGGAAACCUAAAGAGAUUUUGGAAGCUUUUCAAGGUUAUAAUAGGUGUGUGUGCUAUUAGCGAGCCGCAGAUAUAUAUACAAACCGUAACAUACGUCAGUCACAUCAAAACCGCCGGCAUGAUCUGCUCGCAAGAAGUGUCAUCGGAACAGGAAGUCUACAUCUUUAGCGUGGCGUCAUGUGUUACUGAUUAAACCGCACCGAGAGUUAAAGCCGCGGUGCUCCAGUGCCUGACGUUCUGGAAAGGAUGGAUUAACAACACUUUCUUCUUGGGCCAACAAUGAAUCUUUUUCUUUUGUAAGAUGUUUCUGGGCCUUGCAUUGUCU